GGGCUUGUGGUCUAACGGUAUGAUGUCGCUCUCACUCAGCGAAGGUAGAGGGUUCAAUUCCCUCCAGGCCCA
rnacentral:tRNA from 1 species